AAAGAAUUAGUUUAAAAUAAAACAUUAAUUUGUCAAAUUAAAAAUAUAUAAUUAUUCUUUU
rnacentral:tRNA from 1 species